rfam:Comamonadaceae bacterium A1 DNA, complete genome.
UCGCAUCCGCCAACCGGUGCAGCCGUGUCGCGGAAGGUUUUCAACCCACUUGUGUUUCCUGCAGGGAAACCGAAGGCGAGCG